rnacentral:tRNA from 1 species
GGUCCCAUAGUCUAGCGGCCUAGGACGACGCUCUCUCAAGGCGUAAACACGGGUUCAAAUCCCGUUGGGACCG